rnacentral:rRNA from 1 species
UGCAUCUGUGCAUGCAGCAAUCAAUAAGCGGAGGAAAAGAAACUAACAAGGAUUCCCUUAGUAACGGCGAGUGAAGCGGGAAGAGCUCAAAUUUGAAAUCUUGCAAGGUUUACCUUGACGAAUUGUAGUUUAAAGAAGUGUUUUCUGUUACGAUCGUAAUAUAAGUUCUUUGGAAUAGGACAUCACAGAGGGUGAGAAUCCCGUCUAUGAUUGCGAUUUGUAGUUUUGUGAUACACUUUCAAAGAGUCGGGUUGUUUGGGAAUGCAGCCCAAAACGGGAGGUAAAUUUCUUCUAAGGCUAAAUAUCGGCGAGAGACCGAUAGCGAACAAGUACCGUGAGGGAAAGAUGAAAAGAACUUUGAAAAGAGAGUUAAAUAGUACGUGAAAUUGUCAAAAGGGAAGCGUUUAACACCAGUGUUGUUUUCUGAAAAUCAACCUCUGUUAGCUUUAUGCAUGUUUGGUUAGACCUAAUCAGCUAUCUUGCAUGUUCUAUUGUUUGCAGUGGUGCACUUUUCAGUUUACAGGUCAACAUCAGUUUUUUUUACCGUAAAAAAGUUAAAGAAAGGUAGCUCAUGGCUCCGGUCGUGAGUGUUAUAGUCUUUUUCCUAUGCGGUAGGAGAGACUGAGGUCUGCAGUGUAGGCUAUUUGGCUAGAUACUCAGGUGCUAUGUGAUACCAUUUCAUAAACAACUUGUUGAUUAUGUUUUGUCUAUUGCAUACUCGCUUGUACUAUCAUACCUACGCUUAGGAUGUUGACGAUCAGCUGAGCGCG